AGUCGAGCGAAUGGAUUAAGAGCUUGCUCUUAUGAAGUUAGCGGCGGACGGGUGAGUAACACGUGGGUAACCUGCCCAUAAGACUGGGAUAACUCCGGGAAACCGGGGCUAAUACCGGAUAACAUUUUGAACCGCAUGGUUCGAAAUUGAAAGGCGGCUUCGGCUGUCACUUAUGGAUGGACCCGCGUCGCAUUAGCUAGUUGGUGAGGUAACGGCUCACCAAGGCAACGAUGCGUAGCCGACCUGAGAGGGUGAUCGGCCACACUGGGACUGAGACACGGCCCAGACUCCUACGGGAGGCAGCAGUAGGGAAUCUUCCGCAAUGGACGAAAGUCUGACGGAGCAACGCCGCGUGAGUGAUGAAGGCUUUCGGGUCGUAAAACUCUGUUGUUAGGGAAGAACAAGUGCUAGUUGAAUAAGCUGGCACCUUGACGGUACCUAACCAGAAAGCCACGGCUAACUACGUGCCAGCAGCCGCGGUAAUACGUAGGUGGCAAGCGUUAUCCGGAAUUAUUGGGCGUAAAGCGCGCGCAGGUGGUUUCUUAAGUCUGAUGUGAAAGCCCACGGCUCANCCGUGGAGGGUCAUUGGAAACUGGGAGACUUGAGUGCAGAAGAGGAAAGUGGAAUUCCAUGUGUANCGGUGAAAUGCGUAGAGAUAUGGAGGAACACCA
rnacentral:rRNA from 1 species